rnacentral:rRNA from 1 species
CAGCCGCCACGGUAAUACGUAGGUGGCAAGCGUUGUCCGGAAUUAUUGGGCGUAAAGGGCUCGCAGGCGGUUUCUUAAGUCUGAUGUGAAAGCCCCCGGCUCAACCGGGGAGGGUCAUUGGAAACUGGGAAACUUGAGUGCGGAAGAGGAGAGUGGAACUCCACGUGUAGCGGUGAAAUGCGUAGAGAUGUGGAGGAACACCAGUGGCGAAGGCGACUCUCUGGUCUGUAACUGACGCUGAGGAGCGAAAGCGUGGGGAGCGAACAGGAUUAGAUACCCCAGUAGUCCCUGUCUCUUAUAC